rnacentral:rRNA from 1 species
CCUACGGGAGGCAGCAGUGGGGAAUAUUGGGCAAUGGGCGCAAGCCUGACCCAGCAACGCCGCGUGAAGGAAGAAGGCUUUCGGGUUGUAAACUUCUUUUGUUAGGGAAGAGUAGAAGACGGUACCUGCCGAAUAGGCCACGGCUAACUACGUGCCAGCAGCCGCGGUAAUACGAAGGUGGCAAGCGUUGUCCGGAUUUACUGGGUUGAAAGGGCGUGUAGCCGGGUUGACAAGUCAGAUGUGAAAUCCUGCGGCUUAACCGGAGAACUGCAUUUGAACCUGGCGAUCUUGAGUACUGGAGAGGCAGACGGAAUUCGUAGUGUAGCGGUGAAAUGCGUAGAUAUUAGGAGGAACACCAGUGGCGAAGGCAGCCCACUGGACAGCAACUGACGGUGAGGCGCGAAAGCGUGGGGAGCAAACAGGAUUAGAUACCCGUGUAGUC